GUUUGAUCCUGGCUCAGAUUGAACGCUGGCGGCAGGCCUAACACAUGCAAGUCGAACGGUAACAGGAAGAAGCUUGCUUCUUUGCUGACGAGUGGCGGACGGGUGAGUAAUGUCUGGGAAACUGCCUGAUGGAGGGGGAUAACUACUGGAAACGGUAGCUAAUACCGCAUAACGUCGCAAGACCAAAGAGGGGGACCUUCGGGCCUCUUGCCAUCGGAUGAGCCCAGAUGGGAUUAGCUAGUAGGUGGGGUAACGGCUCACCUAGGCGACGAUCCCUAGCUGGUCUGAGAGGAUGACCAGCCACACUGGAACUGAGACACGGUCCAGACUCCUACGGGAGGCAGCAGUGGGGAAUAUUGCACAAUGGGCGCAAGCCUGAUGCAGCCAUGCCGCGUGUAUGAAGAAGGCCUUCGGGUUGUAAAGUACUUUCAGCGGGGAGGAAGGGAGUAAAGUUAAUACCUUUGCUCAUUGACGUUACCCGCAGAAGAAGCACCGGCUAACUCCGUGCCAGCAGCCGCGGUAAUACA
rnacentral:rRNA from 1 species